GAUGAUGGUCGAAGUAUCCACAGCAAACUGGAAAAGAGGCAGAAGUUAGAAAAGAUGAACUCUUCAAAUACAAUAGAUGCUUCAGCACCUCUGAGUAGUAAUGGCUCACAAGACUCACCAGAAAUCAUGGUAACAGUUUGAUCGCCUACUCAACAGACAAAAAAUCAGCUCGUGAUCCAGGCUCAAAGAAAGUUACUAGUCGUGUUGUACCCGCAUAUCGCAGGGCAAAAGUGAGGGGCGCCUUUCUGCAGGAUACUGAAGAUGACAAACACAACUAGAAUCGAAGCUGACGGUUUAAUUGGCGACGUUUUGCAAUUACAUGAUCUAGUUUAGAAUUGUUAUUUCAAUGGAACAUAUAUACAUAUAGAGAAAAUGAAAUGGAUUAAUAUUUUUAGUUAAGUGACAAAAUGUAAAUCCUAGACUGUUAAGAAUCUGUGAAGAAAUGUGAUUUUAGGGAUUUGUGUAUAUAUUUGCUAUCAAAGAUUAAAAUCAGGCAUUUGGACAGGUUUGUACAGAUGAUAUUACUAGUCAGCUUAUGCAAAUUGUAUUUUUCUGUA